UGGGGAAUAUUGCGCAACGGGCGAAAGCCUGACGCAGCGACGCCGCGUGAGGGAUGAAGGUUUUCGGAUCGUAAACCUCUGUCAGAAGGGAAGAAACCGCACUGUGCUAAUCAGCAGUGCCUUGACGGUACCUUCAAAGGAAGCACCGGCUAACUCCGUGCCAGCAGCCGCGGUAAUACGGAGGGUGCAAGCGUUAAUCGGAAUUACUGGGCGUAAAGCGCACGUAGGCUGCUUUGUAAGUCAGGGGUGAAAUCCCACGGCUCAACCGUGGAACUGCCUUUGAUACUGCUUAGCUUGAAUCCGGGAGAGGGUGGCGGAAUUCCAGGUGUAGGAGUGAAAUCCGUAGAUAUCUGGAGGAACAUCAGUGGCGAAGGCGGCCACCUGGACCGGUAUUGACGCUGAGGUGCGAAAGCGUGGGGAGCAAACAGG
rnacentral:rRNA from 1 species